rnacentral:sRNA from 1 species
AACAAUAUUUUAUUAAGAAAUUAUCUUUUUUAAAAAAAAAACUAGAAAAUUUUAACUAGUGUUGACACAUUGUAUUGUACAAUAUAGUGCAUUGUAGUAAAAUGUAUUCUAAAUGUUUUUAUUUCAUCCAUGUUUUCAGUUGGUCUUGAGAGAUGUACAGCCUGGCUCUACAAUCAAAUCUAACUUUCAUCUAAGAAGAGAAGGGGACCUUCAUGUGACAUGCCAAGAAGUGACAUCUGAGAAGGUUGAAAGUGUGACCAUCACAUGUCACUAACACCCAGUGACCAGCUAGUUUGUGUACAGUAGAAUGUGUCUGUGUGAAGUUUGUAGUGACUGUGAGAAUGUUACCUCCCUUUGUAUUUUGUUAUUGUUUUACAAUUGAAAUAAUGUAACAAAACUUUUUAAUCAAUCUGUAAGUAUGAGUGACUGAUCACACCAUUUCUAUGUCUAUAGAUUGAUUGGUGACAUUUUUUCUUAAAUACUAUAUACUUCUUAUUGUUUAAUUUAUAUAAGCCUGGCAUUAUCAAUAAAAUCACUGAAAUAAAAUGAGAUCGAUUUGAAGCAUCUAUGUUAUCAAUCUAAUAUUCUUUGUCACUUAUUUCACGCACCAAGAGCUUUGCAAAAGCUUGACCAUCGUCCAUGGCUUUAUUAAGCUCUGCUAAUUAU